UUGCUGUGAUGACUUUCAUUGUGUUUCGCAUGUUUCUGAGUUCCAGUGAUACCUCUUUCUCUUGGCUGUCUGAGCAA
ensembl:snoRNA small nucleolar RNA, C/D box 53B